rfam:Ictidomys tridecemlineatus contig028809, whole genome shotgun sequence.
GGGGUUGUGGCUCAGUGGUAGAGCACUUGCCUAGCAUGCAUGAGACAGUAGGUUUGAUCCCCAGCACCA